CCUACGGGGGGCAGCAGUGAGGAAUAUUGGUCAAUGGACGAGAGUCUGAACCAGCCAAGUAGCGUGAAGGAUGACUGCCCUAUGGGUUGUAAACUUCUUUUAUAAAGGAAUAAAACGAGGCACGUGUGCCUUUUUGCAUGUACUCUAUGAAUAAGGAUCGGCUAACUCCGUGCCAGCAGCCGCGGUAAUACGGAGGAUCCGAGCGUUAUCCGGAUUUAUUGGGUUUAAAGGGAGCGUAGAUGGGUUGUUAAGUCAGUUGUGAAAGUUUGCGGCUCAACCGUAAAAUUGCAGUUGAUACUGGAAGUCUUGAGUACAGUUGAGGUAGGCGGAAUUCGUGGUGUAGCGGUGAAAUGCUUAGAUAUCACGAAGAACCCCGAUUGCGAAGGCAGCUUACUAAGCUGUGACUGACAUUGAUGCUCGAAAGUGUGGGUAUCAAACAGGAUUAGAUACCCGGGUAGUC
rnacentral:rRNA from 1 species